NNNNNNNNNNNNNNNNNNNNNNNNNNNNNNNNNNNNNNNNNNCGGGGGUCUCAUGGCCCCGGAACCGCAGGGGCCAAGKGGGUACGGGCCAGCCGGUACCGGGGGGGUACGGAGCUGGCCCGGCCCCCGCGGUGCCACCACCCCGGAUCAGGUCCGGCUCCGGCACACCCCAGACAGCCGCCCCCAACCUCAGUGCUGGACGUGGGCUGCAGCCUUUGGGGCUGUCAGGCUGCGUCUGGCCCGGCCACCCCUCGCGCAGGUCCCCCGUCCCCAUCCGCACAGGGAGGGCAAACCGCCGGGUGGCCCUGGCCCGCACGGGGGCCCGGCCGGCCGCGUCGUCCUCACGCACUCGGAGCCGCUCGCAGUGCAAACUCCUUUAUUAAACCGUUCUGUGCAGCCAGCCCGGGCUCUGUGGCAGCGUGGCGACGCGCGGCUAUUCCCAGGUGAUGUCCAGGUCCAGCCGCUGCUUCCGCACGGCCUGCAGGAAGCAGUCGUAGUCCCGGCGGUGGAUGUCCCGGCAGCGGGACAGGUCCAGGGAGCGCAGGUGGCCGUCGGUGGCCAGCAGCAGCCACACGGUCUGGCUGGACACCUGGCUCUCGGCCAGCGAGAGCUCCCGCAGCUCGAGCAGGGGGGGCCCGGGGGCCGCCAGCACCGCCUCGAACACGGCGUCCAGCGGGAAGGGCACGCAGAGCAGGCGCAGGCUCUGCAGGCGCGGCGAGCGGCACAGCAGCGAGGCCAGCGUGGCCCGCAGCACCAGGCCGUGCUGCGCCGGGAAGGGGCUGGAGGCGCCGGCCAGGGCCAGGGAGAAGCGCGUGAGCUGGGGGAAGGCCCAGCGGAGCGGCUCCCCGGGGGGGUCCCCGGCGGGGCCGGCGCCCGGCGGCCCGGGCGGCGGGUGCAGGUCGGUGCUGAAGGCCCGCAGGCAGGGGCAGCAGCCGAGCAGCUCGGCGAGGGAGAGCUCGUCCUCGUAGCAGAAGCCGUGGAGGGCGAGGGUGUGCAGCCGCG
rnacentral:lncRNA from 1 species